GAUUAACGCUAGCGACGUGCCUAAGGUAUGCAAGUCGAACGAUGAAAUUUGCGUAGCAAUACAAGAAUUUCAUAGUGGCAGACGGCUGAGUAACACGUGGGAAUCUCCCUCAAACUCGAG
rnacentral:rRNA from 1 species